rnacentral:rRNA from 1 species
UACGUAGGGUGCAAGCGUUGUCCGGAAUUAUUGGGCGUAAAGAGCUUGUAGGCGGUUUGUCGCGUCUGCUGUGAAAUUUCGGGGCUCAACCCCGAACUUGCAGUGGGUACGGGCAGACUCGAGUGUGGUAGGGGAGACUGGAAUUCCUGGUGUAGCGGUGAAAUGCGCAGAUAUCAGGAGGAACACCGAUGGCGAAGGCAGGUCUCUGGGCCACUACUGACGCUGAGAAGCGAAAGCAUGGGGAGCGAACAGG